rnacentral:lncRNA from 1 species
ACCACUUACAAUUACAAACCCCUUUACAAGGCUGAAACAACACCAGUUUGUAGCACAUCUCCAUAGUGAACGUCUAAUAUAUGUUUACAAUGUGCAUUGUUUCAUAAGUAUCAUUGUAAUAAACUUAUGGCACAUGAAUUGACAUUCAGACUUUCUAGACAUAGGUCACAUGACACGUAAAACAGAGCAUCCCACCGAGAGAAAUACUGUUAAAAUGAAGAACGUAUUCAUUACACAUAUUACGGAUGGAACACAUUCUCUCAUGGGCCACCGUUUCCUAUUUCGACUUUCUUUAAAUAUAAGUGAUGAACAUGAUAAUUAUUCCACAGUAUCCAACUAGAGAAUAGAUGCUACAUAUACGCACAGUUUAAUAUUAGUAACUUAAUCCAGAACAAUUCAUUGAAAUACCACUUCAAACCGUUACAAAUAAUAUUAAGAUACUUCAACUUUCACGACGGCCCAAGCAGCCAAUUCCCACUAAUUAUAUAUCAUUAUCCACAGAAAAUGACAAAAGCAAACAUGAAAUCAGCGGCAAACACACACACACAAACAAGCAGCUAAUGGCUUUGUGAAAGUAACAACCAGUUUUGAUGUACUCACGAAUAUUUUUCCUGUCACUUUUUCUUCUGAAAGUAAUUCUCUAAGAAAUUAGGGUCCAAAUUUGUUAAAUGUAACUAUAAUUUUGGAGAAAAAAAUCUAAGCCAGGGUCCAUAAUUUACAUAAGAUGGGCCUGCUGUCACCAUAUUGUUUUCCUCAAUAACUCUUACAGAGAUGUUGUUAGAAGAAUAUAUACUAAUAUAUUUCAUAACAAAUGCGCAACUGUCAUUAAAACGAGAGCAAAUUUACAUCACCC